rnacentral:lncRNA from 10 species
UUUUUUUUUUUUUUUUUUUUUUUUGAGACGGAGUCUCGCUCUGUCGCCCAGGCUGGACUGCGGACUGCAGUGGCGCAAUCUCGGCUCACUGCAAGCUCCGCUUCCCGGGUUCACGCCAUUCUCCUGCCUCAGCCUCCCCAGUAGCUGGGACUACAGGCGCCCGCCACUGCGCCCGGCUAAUUUUUUGUAUUUUUAGUAGAGACGGGGUUUCACCUUGUUAGCCAGGAUGGUCUCGAUCUCCUGACCUCAUGAUCCACCCGCCUCGGCCUCCCAAAGUGCUGGGUGAAUUCUUACUAUUCUUAAUAAUUUUGGCUUUUCUAUGUAGACAUCAUAUUUGAGAAUAAAGCAUUACGUUUCUUCUAUUGCUGUUUUUAUGUACUUACAUAUUUAUUGCAUCUUAAUGAGGCAGGACCCUCAGCAGCAUGUAGAUUUUGCUGUUGCUGAUUGUAAAGGCCCUGACAGUGACAACUUCCAUUUGGAAAGCUGUUUGCUGAAGGUUUUGGCAGCAGGGCGUCCACACAAGAGGGGUACACAGUGUGGGAGUCAAAGCCCCAGUCGGAUGAGCAGGGCAUCUCUGUGGGGAGUGGGUGGCAGUGAUGGGAGGCUGGGGACAUGCAGGAAAACUGACCCAAUAAUAGAUUAAGGAGAAUGAGAACCAUUCCCAGAAAGGGCCUUACAGCUAUGGAAAGAGAGAAAAACUGGAACGUACCCUGUGGUGCUGGGCUAAAAUCGGAGACAGAGAGAGAGAUGGAAGUACGUGCACAUAUCCUCUAGCUCUGUCCACUAAGAGCUCCCGGGUGCAGCAAUCUGCAACAGCCAGGAGCACGCCUCGCACCCACAUCCUGGUUCCUGAUGCUACUCUCCAUUCAAAAGAACAGGUCUUCUUAGAGCUGCAGCUCACUCCAAUAAAUGAA